UCAUCAGCUAAUUGAUCUGUGGCCAUGCAAGUAACCAUAAUAUGGAGUGGAUAUUGAUUGCCUGAUUUUGGUUUGGAUCGGCCUCUUAUAUAUAUGCUUCAUGUCGUGCAGUGGAUAUUGGUUGACUGCAUCUUUUCCUCUUUCUUGUGCCUGCAGCUAGAUUCGAGAGCUGUGUCAGCAGGGUUUCCGCAUAGGUCAUCCAUUGCUGAAGGAAGAAACGUGUGUUGUUGUGAGGUUGCUGCUUUCUGCUGUGUGCGCUGCAGGGACUCACGAAGGUCAGUUUGUCCCUUCCUGCUUUGUUACAGUUCGUAUUGUUUUCCUUCUAUGUGUUGUGUUUCCUGUUUGUACACCUAAAAAAACCUUGCAUAUAGAUAGAACUCAGGAAAGGGAGAUGUAAAUGCAUGCUCUAGAUUCUCAUGCAAAUCUGAAACAAUUCAGAUAUCCUUAUUUCUUAGGGCAUGGGAGUACCAAUAAUUAUUGCUAACAAGGAUAACGACUCAUAAGCAAGCAUACGAUUGUUGUACACUUUGAUCAACAGACUGAUUUGAGGGGUUCUUUCUUCUUCUUUUUAAUACCUACAUGUGUCUAAUUAAAAUGAUGGAUUGAAAAAUGAAAUCUGCAAGUGCCUUCAAGCUCAUUGAAGAUAUUAGACAUUUUCAGAUUUCUCAUGAGAAUGCAACUGUACUGUUAGAUAUAUCAACACACCUUAUACUAUGCCAGUUCUCAUCAUGAAUUUAGAAACCAAAGCUCAUCACAGCACAUUCAACGGUAACAAAGAAAAAAAUGUGUGUUAAAAUUUCAAUUAUCAGCUAGAGCUCAUACCGAUGCUCUAGAUUUGAACUAUCAUACUGCACUUCUAUCGGAUUCUGCAAUCUAUGCCAGCACUCUUCCUGGAGCAUAGAAUGAUCUAUUAUUAUUCUUGUAGGAAUUUUCAUCGCCCCAUGAAUCAUAAAUAUAUGACAGCAGCAACACGCUGUGCAAUCAGAAAGCCAUCAAUCAAUACUACAAUUCACAUUUCCGAUGUUUGUUAUACUUUUAUAUAUGGAUAUAAUAUCGAUUAGCUUGGCCAAUGAAUCCUGAUUCAAUUUUGUUUUUGGAAUUCUUGAGCAGAGUAUCGAUCUCGCGGAAAGGCAUCGUCUAGUGUGAUGUGUUUGGUCCUAUAUCCUAUGUUCGUUGCGGAUAUUAGCAUCAUGCAGUGGGUAUUGUCAAGCAUUACGAACUGAACUUGCCUCUGUUCUAGACAAGCAGCUACUGCAAGAUGCUUGCUCCCUCUUACUGCAACCUGAAUGAGUUUCUUUCAACAAUAUUUGGAUUAAAAUAUUAAACAAAUGCAUAUAGUUAAUAUGUUGAUAUUGUGCUUGCCACGACCUAUGUUAAUAUGUUGAUGAUAUGCUUGCUAUCAGAUGUGGUGGUUUCAUAUUGAAUUCAUUUUAUACCA